rnacentral:tRNA from 1 species
GCCUGAUAUCGCCUAGCGGGGGUCCAUGCGGAAAGGGGCUUUCAACCGAUUCGUAAUCGGUAGGUCGCGAGUUCGAUUCUCGCCGUCGGCACCA